rnacentral:lncRNA from 1 species
UUCAGAACCAUUUGCAGCAGCAGCAGCAGCGACAACUCCAGACCAAGUAAGUAAAAUAUAUGAUCCAAUCAAAUUGACCUUUUAUGCUAAGAACCAAGUACCCAUUUCUUGAUUUGAGCAAAUUAACAUCAAAUUGACCUUUUAUGCUAAGAACCAAGUACCCAUUUCUUGAUUUGAGCAAAUUAACAUCAAAUUUGGUAUAAGAACAAAAAAAGAAUCGACCUUUAAGCUCAAAAUCAAGUACCCAUUUCACAAAAACCGAUUUAUUAUAUCUCAGCU